CUCUCCCAUUGGCCAGCCAGCCUCCAGAGGAGGAGCUUCUCUUCCUCCUGCGCAGGCCCAAGGCUGAGCAGCAUGGCGAGCACUUUACCAGCAAGAUCCUGCAGCACGCUGGGGAUGACAUUUCUGGACACUGCAGCAUCUGAAGUUGGGACCCCCACUUUUUGCUGGACUUGCUUGGGGGAAUACCUUGCCCGGUCUAUCCUCAGUGUGUUCUUCUGAAUUUCCCCGGCACCAACUUGUACAAAAACCCGGGAGACAAGCAAUAGUUAAAUAAAAGAUUGUAAUUAUGA